CUUUUUAAAAAAGCAAAUUACUGGCCCUGCUCCAGACCACUUGAAUCAGAAAUGCUGCAGGUGGAGUCCAGAAAUCUGCAUUUUUAUC
ensembl:miRNA